GUGCUCGCUUUGUCAGCACUUAUGCUAAAAUUGGAACAAUACGGAGAAGAUUAGCAUGGCCCCUGCACAAAGAUGACACACAAAUUUGUGAAGUAUUCCAUAUUAAA